UUCCGGUUGAUCCUGCCGGACCCCACUGCUAUCGGGAUAGGACUAAGACAUGCUAGUCGUGUGCCUCAGCCAAAACGAGGCACGGCGCACAGCUCAGUAACACGUGGCUAACCUGCCCUUAGGACGUGAAUAACCCCGGGAAACUGGGGCUAAUGCUCGAUAGGUGAAGAACUCUGGAAUGAGUCUUCACUUAAAAGAGUCUGCGUUAUGCUCGUAGAUUUCGCUUAAGGAUGGGGCCGCGACCGAUCAGGUUGUUGGUGAGGUAAUGGCUCACCAAGCCUUUUACCGGUGCGGGCCGUGAGAGCGGGAGCCCGGAGAUGGGCACUGAGACAAGGGCCCAGGCCCUACGGGGCGCAGCAGUCGCGAAAACUUUGCAAUACACGAAAGUGUGACAGGGCUAUCCCGAGUGCCAUCCGCUGAGGAAGGCUUUUACCCAGUCUAGAAAGCUGGGGGAAUAAGGAGAGGGCAAGUCUGGUGUCAGCCGCCGCGGUAAUACCAGCUCUCCGAGUGGUGUGGAUGUUUAUUGGGCCUAAAGCAUCCGUAGCUGGCUAAGUUAGUCCCCUGUUAAAUCCAACGAAUUAAUCGUUGGAUCGCGGGGGAUACUGCUUGGCUAGGGGACGAGAGAGGCAGACGGUAUUUCCGGGGUAGGGGUGAAAUCCUAUAAUCCCGGGAAGACCACCAGUGGCGAAGGCGUCUCACCAGAACGGACCUGACGGCAAGGGACGAAAGCUAGGGGCACGAACCGGAUUAGAUACCCGGGUAGUCCUAGCCGUAAACGAUACUCGCUAGGUGUCGGCCACGGUGCGACCGUUGUCGGUGCCGUAGGGAAGCCGUGAAGCGAGCCACCUGGGAAGUACGGCCGCAAGGCUGAAACUUAAAGGAAUUGGCGGGGGAGCACCACAACGGGUGGAGCUUGCGGUUUAAUUGGAGUCAACGCCGGA
rnacentral:rRNA from 1 species